ensembl:lncRNA
GGUGGCGGCAAUACAGCAAUAGGUGUAGUCUGCCGUAGAACUUUAAAGAAGAAGUAGUGCCCUCGUAUCAACGUGGCGUUUGUGUCGAACUCGAUAAAGUUAAAAGAAAGAACUAUUCUGUUACGCCAAGAAUGCUAAAGAAAAAACAAGACAGAGGACAACAGCACACGCAGAAAGUUGCAACGUGGUAUAGGCUUCCAUGUCUUCUCCCUGGACCUCCUCAAUGUCCACCUCUUGAACAUCAGACUCCUAGGCCUCAUCUUCACUGUCGCUUUCCAACCCUGUUGAGGUUAGCUUGUUGUCGGGCUCAAAAAGACUAAAAUUUGCCCAGAUGGCAAACACUUUUUCAACCCUUGUAAUGGUCAG